CCACUUCGAGCUGAGGGCCUCGAAGGUUCCAGAGAGGCAGCGGCCAGGGUCCACCAGCAUGUCCAGCCCCUCAUUUUCAGGGCGUUAGGCCUGGCCAGCAGCACCAGUAACAUCUACACGCAGUCAGACGUGAAGUGUGUUCACAUCUAUGAGAACCAGCGCUGGAACCCUGUCACAGGCUACACCAGCAGGGGUCUGCCCACGGACCGGUACAUGUGGAGCGACGCCUCGGGGCUGCAGGAGUGCACGAAGGCUGGCACGAAGCCCCCGUCCCUGCAGUGGGCCUGGGUUUCCGACUGGUUCGUGGAUUUCAGCGUUCCGGGGGGCACGGACCAGGAGGGGUGGCAGUAUGCCAGCGACUUCCCUGCCUCAUACCAUGGGUCCAAAACGAUGAAGGAUUUUGUGAGGAGGAGGUGCUGGGCCAGAAAAUGCAAGCUGGUGACCAGUGGGCCCUGGCUGGAGGUGCCCCCCAUCGCCCUCAGGGACGUAUCCAUCAUCCCGGAGAGCCCAGGUGCCAAGGGGAGUGGGCACAGCAUCGCCCUCUGGGCCAUCAGCGACAAGGGGG
rnacentral:sRNA from 1 species